AGCGAACGCUGGCGGCAGGCCUAACACAUGCAAGUCGAACGCACCUUCGGGUGAGUGGCGGACGGGUGAGUAACACGUGGGAACGUACCUUUUGGUUCGGAAUAACGCAGGGAAACUUGUGCUAAUACCGAAUGUGCCCUUCGGGGGGAAAGAUUUAUCGCCAUUAGAGCGGCCCGCGUUAGAUUAGCUAGUUGGUGAGG
rnacentral:rRNA from 1 species